UACGUAGGGUGCAAGCGUUGUCCGGAAUUAUUGGGCGUAAAGAGCUCGUAGGCGGUUUGUCGCGUCUGCUGUGAAAAUCCAGGGCUUAACCCUGGACCUGCAGUGGGUACGGGCAGACUGGAGUGCGGUAGGGGAGAUCGGAAUUCCUGGUGUAGCGGUGGAAUGCGCAGAUAUCAGGAGGAACACCAAUGGCGAAGGCAGAUCUCUGGGCCGUAACUGACGCUGAGGAGCGAAAGCAUGGGGAGCGAACAGG
rnacentral:rRNA from 1 species